AAGUUUUUGAAUCCAUGCAGAGAUCUUGUCCGACAUCAACUCAUUAUGGCUGAUCAGACUUCCAAGAUAAAUGAAGUU
rnacentral:pre_miRNA from 1 species